rnacentral:tRNA from 1 species
AGUAUCGCGCCGGAAGAACGGACUACUCUGAUGAGGUAGAUUAUGGACCAAAACACCCCGAUACUUCCA